UGUGUGUUGGGGUGAUGUGUGUGUGUUGGGGUGCUGUGUAUGUGUUGGGGUGCUGUGUAUGUGUUAGGGUGAUGUGUGUGUGUGUGCUAGGUUGGUGUGUGUGUGUGCUAGGUUGCUGUAUGUGUUUGGUUGCUAUAUGUGUUAGGGUGCUGUAUGUGUUAGGGUGCUGUGUCAAUGUUAGGGUGAUGUGUCAAUGUUAGGGUGCUGGUGUUGGGGUGCUGUGUGAGUGUUAGGGUGCUGUGUGAGUGUUACGGUGCUGUGUGUGUGUUAGGGUGCUGUGUCAAUGUUAGGGUGCUGGUGUUAGGGUGCUGUGUGAGUGUUAGGGUGCUGUAUGUGUGUGUUAGGGUGAUGUGUCAAUGUUAGGGUGCUGGUGUUAGGGUGCUGUGUGAGUGCUACGGUGCUGUGUGUGUGUUAGGGUGAUGUGUCAAUGUUAGGGUGCUGUGUGUGUAUUAGGGUGCUGUGUGAGUGCUACGGUGCUGUGUGUGUGUUAGGGUGCUGUGUGUGUGUGUUAGGGUGAUGUGUCAAUGUUAGGGUGCUGGUGUUAGGGUGCUGUGUGUGUGUUGGGGUGCUGUGUGUGUGUUGGGGUGCUGGUGUUAGGGUUCUGUGUGAGUGCUACGGUGCUGUGUGUGUGUUAGGGUGCUGUGUCAAUGUUAGGGUGCUGGUGUUAGGGUGCUGUGUGUGUGAGUGUUAGGCUGCUGUGUGAGUGUUAGGGUGCUGUGUGUGUGUGUUAGGGUGCUGUGUGAGUGUGUUAGAGAUUUUGUGAGUGUUAGGGUGCUGUGUGUGUGUGUUAGGGUGCUGUGUGUGUGUUAGGGUGCUGUGUGUGUGUUAGGGUGCUGUGUCCAAUGUUAGGGGUGCUGGUGUUAGAAGUUGCUGUGUGUGUGUUAGGGUGUGGCAGGAAUUACUUUCUGAUUACUGUGUCAAUGUUAAAGUUACUGGAGUGUUAGGGUGCUGGCUGAGUGUUAGGGUGCUGUGUGUGUGUUAGGGUGCUGGUGAGUGUUAGGGUGUUGUGUCAAUGUUAGGGUGCUGUGUGUGUGUGUUAGGGUGCUGUAGGUGUGUUAGGGUGCUGUGUGCGUGUUAGGGUGCUGUGUGUGUGUUAGGGUGCUGUGUGCGUGUUAGGGUGCUGUGUGUGUGUUAGGGUGCUGUUUCAAUGUUAGGGUGCUGGUGUUAGGGUGCUGUGUGUGUGUUAGGGUGCUGUGUGAGUGCUACGGUGCUGUGUCAAUGUUAGGGUGCUGGUGUUAGGGUGCUGUGUGAGUGUUAGGGUGCUGUGUGUGUGUUAGGGUGCUGGUGGGUGUUAGGGUGCUGUGUAAAUGUUAGGGUGCUGUGUGUGUGUGUUAGGGUGCUGUGUGAGUGUUAGGGUGCUGUGUGUGGUGUUAGAGAUUGCUGUGUGUGUGUUAGGGUGCUGUGUGAGUGUUAGGGGUGCUGUGUGUGUGUGUUAGGGUGCUGGUGUUAGGGUGCUGUGUGUGUGGUGGGGUGCUGUGUCAAUGUUAGGGUGCUGUGUGUGUGUUAGGGUGCUGUGUGUGUGUGUUAGGGUGCUGGUAGGUGUGUUAGGGUGUUGUGUCCAAUGUUAGGGUGCUGUGUGUGUGUGUUAGGGUGCUGUGUGUGUGUUAGGGUGAUGUGUCAAUGUUAGGGUGCUGGUGUUAGGGUGCUGUGUGACUGUUAGGGUGCUGUGUGAGUGCUAGGGUGCUGUGUGUGUGUGCUAGGGUGAUGUGUCAAUGUUAGGGUGCUGGUGUUAGGGUGCUGUGUGUGUUAGGGUGCUGUGUGAGUGCUACGGUGCUGUGUGUGUGUUAGGGUGCUGUGUCAAUGUUAGGGUGCUG